UUGCUGAGGAGGUACAGGUUUGGCAUAGCUUGCAGCAGUGGCUCAGAGUCAGUCCGUGGCCUGGGCACCUUCCGUAUGCUGCAGGUGUGGCCAUAAAAAGAAAAAGGAAAUAAUAAAAAAGAAUUACUGAGUGACUUUAAAACCAACACAAGAGUUCCUGUUGAGGUUCAACGGGUUAAGAACCCAGUGCUGUCUCUGAGGAUGUGGCUUCGAUCCCUGGCCUCACACAGUGGGUUAAGGAUCCAGUGUUGUCACAAGCUACAAUUUAGGUUGCAUAUGCAACUUGGAUCCAGCAUUGCCAUGGCUCUGGUGUAGGCUGGCAGCUGCAGCUCCAAUUUGACCUCCAGCCUGGGAACUAACAUAUGCUGCAGGAGCGGCCCAAGAAAUAGCAACAACAAAAACAACAAAAAAGACAAAAAAAAAAAACGUGUUGUGCUACCUGCCUGUACAUUUUGUUUUAAGAACAAUGAAAAGAUGCACAGUUGAAUGCUUCAUUUAAAAAAAAGCUCAAAUGUUCUCUGAAAGAAAAAGAUGAAGUGCACUUUAUAUUUGUGACCUAUGAUUUUUUUUUUUUUUUUUCCUCUUGCUCUGUGUAUCAGUGCCUCUCCCUGGAAAAGAGCCUUAGGCUAUUUUUAAAGACCUUGUUGAGUGGAGAUGUAAAGAAGAAGCAUAGAGAUAUUGUACAACUUUAUUUUUAGCACUACAGACUAUGUAUCUACCUCUCAAACUUAGGAAAAUAGCUCCCAACAUUCAGUGGACCCGUUACUCUGUACCAAGAUCUGAUGUCGUGUUUGUUCUUGUGUCACAUAUGUUGGCUCUUGUUUUUCUCUCUUGAUGCUUUUUGAGUCCAUGCAUUGAGAUUUUAGAAAGAAUGUUAACGUUUAAGGGUUGGUGGUUAAUGUAUUUGUGUGUGUUGGGUGUCUGUAAUAUGGAAAUUGAAAAUAGGGUCAUUAUUAAUCAAUUAGUCAAUAGAAGUAGGCAGAUGCUUUCUCAGUUCUAUGCCAUGCACGUAUUAUUUCUUAUAAAACUGUGCACUAACCCAAGGUUGCUUUUUAAAAGUACUGUUAUUUUUUAAGGACUGUUAUUGUUUGGUAUCAACCUUCUUGUAAACGAGCCACACUGAUAGAUAAGAUAUUAAUAUUUGCAAAGGUGGAAGUAGAACACGCAUUGAAGAGGCUAGGGUGAAAUGUAUUUACAGAGGAAUGUAUUUACUUUCAGACUGUUUAAAGAUUCAUAUUCUUAAACUCCGCUCUGUUUGGGAUGCCCUUCACCUUUAGCCCUUUGAAUAAAUUGAUAUUCAUCCCUCAGGUCCACUCCUCCUCCUUAGAGCUUUCUGGGCCUGACCCUUUUGGGCUGAAUCAGUAUUUGUUCCUCUAAUAGCUCCCUGUAGUGAUUUACUGAAGUGUGAGAAUUCUCAGCUAAAUGUGAGCUCUUUCAUGUAAGGACCAUCUCUAGGAGCCCCAGUGGAGUCUGAAGAUUAUACACUAAAUGGUUGAUUUUUGGUUUAAGGAAUAAAGUUUAUGAUUUGCCUUUGCAGUGGAAAAUAUAUUAGAGUAAUUUUGCAUUAUAUAGCUGUGAGCAACAUACACCAUAACUCUCGGUUUUAGAAAAACUGAGGUCCAAAGCAGCUGUAUUGCUUGCUAAAGUUAUACAGAAUGUUCCUUAAACUGAGUUGGCACUGUGUUCAUUUCUCUUUCCCUCCUAUGUACUUUUCAAGACCAGCAUUUGCCAAACUAUGCUGCACAGACACUAGGGCCUUAGGCUAUGGAACUGGAGUCAUGUCCAGUAAAGGAGAAUGUGUAAUAUUGGGAGAAAAAAACCUUCAGUUAAAGAAAAUUUAAUGGUUUAAAAAACAAAAACAAACAAACAAAAAACUCCAGGACUCUUCUGAACUAUAAUGGGCUCAAGUGCAUAUUGCCAAAGAGAUGGCUAUAGCAUGCAGUGUUUUGCAAAGUCAUAUAUUAACACAACCCCUCUUUAAAAUUUCUCUUCUCUUAAAAAACUAUUUUUUUUUGAAAGAUACGAUUUAGAGGAGCUGUACUGAAUGAAUUCUGUCUGAUGUUCAUAAGUUCUUUAUGUCAAAGUCAUCUUGACUUUGUAUGUGAACAAAAGAAAUGGAAAAAUAUUGGUUGUGGGUUUUUUUCCUGGAUUUGGCUCCGACUUACUCCGUGAGUUUUGACAGAUUCCAAAAUGGCAGGAAAUUGUUUCCGUAGUAUCUGUUGGGAGAACAUUUAAAUUUAUCAAAUUCAAAUCCUAGGCUUAAUAUGAUUUCCAGUUUAAUUACAAGGGGGUCGUUAGAGGUAGUUAUAUUGUGAUUUGAGAAGGCACCCUCAGAAAGCUAAUAGAGAUUGGAGGUUUGGGGAGAGGACCCACAGCACUAGUCAUAGAGAGAAAGAACCCGUGAGUGUCCAGGAUCAUCAGUGCGAGGCAGUAUAAAUGCUGUCGCUACGUGGGUUCGUAAUGGUAGAAGGGACAGUUGAGUUUUUAUAGCUUCCCCAAGGGAAGAAGUAGCUUCAUUUGGUUAAAUGUGGCCUGGAAUAAAACAUCCACACAAAAGAAAUUGUGGAUUUCAGUAGGAGAAAUUGACUCAUGCUGAAUGGUCUCUCUGGACUGGAAAGGGAAGGAAGAGCUCUAGCUGGGAGUUAGUGUGGGAGGAGUGUGCCUCAGGCCCCCAGACUCUGCUGUCUUCUAGCUUUAUGACCUCAGGCAACUCCAUCUCUCUGUUUACUUAAGAGAAAAGUGGGAGGUCUUACCUAAUAUGACUGAUUCUAUGAUACCGAGCUGGGAGGGUCAAAGAAAGGAAGGCAGACUUGUCUGCACAGUUGAUUUUUGAAGGAGCAUGUUAGAGACAUGAUCACAGACUGAUUUUUUUUAACUUUUUAAAAAAUUAUUAUUAAUGUAUAGUUGAUUUGCAAUGUUCCAUCAUGUUCUGUUGUACAACAAAGUGACCCAGUCACACACGUUUCCCUGUGCUAUACAGUAAGGUCCCAUUGCCCAUCCAUUGCGGAUAUAACUGUUUGCAUCCCCCAAACCCCCAAAAUGCCCAUCCCUCCCACUCCCUCCUGACCUGGGAACCC
ensembl:lncRNA